rnacentral:rRNA from 1 species
GACGAACGCUGGCGGCGUGCUUAACACAUGCAAGUCGAACGGUGAACUCCGCUUGCGGGGGGAUCAGUGGCGAACGGGUGAGUAACACGUGGGCAACCUGCCCUCAGCUCUGGGAUAACUCCAAGAAAUUGGGGCUAAUACCGGAUAUGACCGCUGACCGCAUGGUCUGGUGGUGGAAAGAUUUAUCGGCUGGGGAUGGGCCCGCGGCCUAUCAGCUUGUUGGUGGGGUAGUGGCCUACCAAGGCGACGACGGGUAGCCGGCCUGAGAGGGUGACCGGCCACACUGGGACUGAGACACGGCCCAGACUCCUACGGGAGGCAGCAGUGGGGAAUAUUGCGCAAUGGGCGAAAGCCUGACGCAGCGACGCCGCGUGGGGGAUGACGGCCUUCGGGUUGUAAACCUCUUUCAGCAGGGACGAAGCGAAAGUGACGGUACCUGCAGAAGAAGCACCGGCCAACUACAUG